CGGGGCGUAGCGCAGCCUGGUAGCGCGUACCCUUGGGGUGGGUGAGGUCGCAAGUUCAAAUCUUGUCGCCCCGA
rnacentral:tRNA from 1 species